rnacentral:tRNA from 1 species
CGGGGCGUGGCGCAGUCUGGUAGCGCGCUUGGUUCGGGACUAAGAGGUCGCUGGUUCAAAUCCAGUCGCCCCGACCA